AAACUGCGAAUGGCUCAUUAAAUCAGUUAUCGUUUAUUUGAUAGUACCUUACUACAUGGAUAACCGUGGUAAUUCUAGAGCUAAUACAUGCUAAAAAUCCCGACUUCGGAAGGGAUGUAUUUAUUAGAUUAAAAACCAAUGCCCUUCGGCGUCUCUGGUGAUUCAUGAUAACUUCUCGAAUCGCACGGCCUUGCGCCGGCGAUGGUUCAUUCAAAUUUCUGCCCUAUCAACUUUCGACGGCUGGGUCUUGGCCAGCGGUGACAACGGGUAACGGAGGGUUAGGGCUCGACCCCGGAGAAGGAGCCUGAGAAACGGCUACUACAUCCAAGGAAGGCAGCAGGCGUCGCAAAUUACCCAAUCCGAUACGGGGAGGUAGUGACAAUAAAUACUGAUACAGGGCUCUUUCGGGUCUUGUAAUUGGAAUGAGUACAAUUUAAAUCCCUUAACGAGGAACCAAUUGGAGGGCAAGUCUGGUGCCAGCCAGCCGCGUAAUUCCAGCUCCAAUAGCGUAUAUUAAAGUUGUUGAGGUUAAAAAGCUCGUAGUUGAACCUUGGGCCUAGCGGCGGUCCGCCUCACCGCGUGCACUGGCUCGGCUGGGUCUUUCUUCUGGAGAACCUCAUGCCCUUCACUGGGUGUGCUGGGGAACCAGGACUUUUACUCUGAACAAAUUAGAUCGCUUAAAGAAGGCCUAUGCUCGAAUACUCUAGCAUGGAAUAAUAGAAUAGGACGUGUGGUUCUAUUUUGUUGGUUUCUAGGACCGCCGUAAUGGAUUAAUAGGGACAGUCGGGGGCAUCAGUAUUCAAUUGUCAGAGGUGAAAUUCUUGGAUUUAUUGAAGACUAACUACUGCGAAAGCAUUUGCCAAGGAUGUUUUCAUUAAUCAGGAACGAAAGUUAGGGGAUCGAAGACGAUCAGAUACCGUCGUAGUCUUAACCAUAAACUAUGCCGAUUAGGGAUCGGACGGCGUUAUUUUUUGACCCGUUCGGCACCUUACGAUAAAUC
rnacentral:rRNA from 1 species